CACGCCACCUCUAACGACCACCAGCGCAUGCGCAUGCUGAACCGAUGCAGCGAAACGGAGAACAAGUAGGUUCGUCGAGCACCAGAAAUGCGCGCGCGCAGCUAAGGCAGAAAUGGCAGAGGGACGGAUACCCGACUGCAAGAAACGAUCAACCACGCAGCGGCCCUGGUACCCGCCCGGCAAGGUUUGUGUGGUUCGAAGACGCUGCGGCUGCUGAACGAUCGCCCCGCCCGCUCACAGGAAAAUUCCAGCCGUAGUUUGUGGUGACACGCGUGCGUGUAAAUUAACUUUGUCUGAGUUCGUGACAGGAGCAACAAAUCAGCAGGUUAACAUCACUUCCGGUCCAAGUUGUUUGUAAUGAAAUCCGCUUGUGUUGUUCAACGUAGUGUGUAUUUCUUCUUCAAUACAUAAGACACUUUCCCCGACAGCUUCCGGGUAAACAUCCUCCCGAUCUCA